rnacentral:rRNA from 1 species
AGUGAACUCUGGCGGUAGGCCUAACACAUGCAAGUCGAACGGCAGCACAGUAAGAGCUUGCUCUUACGGGUGGCGAGUGGCGGACGGGUGAGGAAUACAUCGGAAUCUACUUUUUCGUGGGGGAUAACGUAGGGAAACUUACGCUAAUACCGCAUACGACCUACGGGUGAAAGCAGGGGAUCUUCGGACCUUGCGCGAUUGAAUGAGCCGAUGUCGGAUUAGCUAGUUGGCGGGGUAAAGGCCCACCAAGGCGACGAUCCGUAGCUGGUCUGAGAGGAUGAUCAGCCACACUGGAACUGAGACACGGUCCAGACUCCUACGGGAGGCAGCAGUGGGGAAUAUUGGACAAUGGGCGCAAGCCUGAUCCAGCCAUACCGCGUGGGUGAAGAAGGCCUUCGGGUUGUAAAGCCCUUUUGUUGGGAAAGAAAAGCAGCAGGUUAAUACCCCGCUGUUCUGACGGUACCCAAAGAACAAGCACCGGCUAACUUCGUG